AUGCGGGUCAGGGUGAGGUCAUCGACGAGCGCGUCAACCGCGGCAGGGUCAUACGCAUCCGAACCGAGGCGGACGGAGGCGUGCGCUAAAGUGGAGUGUCUCGCGCACGCUGAGGAGCGGGAAGAGAACGUCGCGCUGGGUGACGUAGCCGCAGAGGCGGCGCAGGGCCGUGGUGUUGACAGGGGAGCCAUUGACGCGGAGGUCAGUAGGAGGGGUGGAGCUCGGCCUGAGACGGCCGGAGAGGAUCUCGAGCAGCAUGGACUUGCCGUCUCCGCUGGGCCCGACGAUGGCGACCAGGAGCAACUCACCGGGGCGGGCGUGGCAGAUGACGUUGCGGAGCACGAGGCGGCACUGGCUGCUGCCGCUCACUAG
rnacentral:rRNA from 1 species